rnacentral:lncRNA from 1 species
GCGGAAUCCUGCAACUUCCAUCCUUUAGCUCCUCUCUGCAGCAGGGCUACAAUGUUGAUGCUAAGCUGCAUAUUUACAGUACACUCACAGGCAAGAAAGAGUGUUUGCAUUACUCAUUAUAUAAAGUGUCUCUUACAUCAUUUUUGGUGUAACCUUUUACUGGGACAUGCAGGGGAAUGAACAAAGAAAGAAAAUCCCUUUGAUGAAAGUUUGGCUGCAGAGUAAACCUUUCCCUGUUUAUGGAAAGAAAUGCAUCACCAUCCGCUAAAACCGAGCACAAAGGACACAAACAAGCAUGCGACCCACAUAUUCUCCUGGUAGAAAUGACACAACCGAGUAUGAGGUGAUGAGAAGGAUUAGGGACGAGGAAUCCGCAAGGAGCAGGAGACAUAUGUUGAGUGGGUGGACAAGCAGGGAAGGGGUUUCUCUGUCCCUAGGGCCGUUCCCGACUCUGGCCUGGAAACCGUAGCGCGGCAGCAGCCAUCUUGGCUCAUUAGGAGUGAGCUGGAGAACCAACAUGCACGUCUAGGCGAAUCAGAUCAGGUUAAUAGAUGGCUGGUGCACAAAUGUGUUUGCUUGUGUUCAAGCGCGUGACUAAAUACAGCGCAACCGUGCAUUUGUCUGAGCAUUUUUAACACUCUCCAUGAAGCAGGACUAGCUUACAAUUCACCCGCGUGUUCUAACUGAGCCCUUUUUCUCACGUUGCCCCUCAACGGUGCAGCUUUCUCCAGUUUCUCCCUCACUUUUCAUCCUGAUUCUGUUGCACUCACUUCUCACAGCGUAACCAUCCCAGCCUUCCCACCGCGUCAUCAAAGGCUUUGGUUAAGACCAUGUGCGCGCUGGUUUUUUGUUUUUUUUUGCAUUUGCAUUUUACAUGGGUAGUAACCUCGCCCGAGGCCAGCAUGCUGUAGUUUGAGGACCACACACACACUCUCUCUCUCACACACACACUGUUAAAGAAGUAUGCCAGGUUUUCAUAAUUCCCAGAGAAAAGUAUUGAGUUAAAUAUAUGCUUAUCUCUCCCAGCACUGUGUUAGCAUCUGGUUUUAAUCUGUGAUGAGGGCACACGGCCUAAAUAUUAGGCCACUCGUGAUCCAGUCAGUAAAACUGCUGACUUGAAGAAACCAAAUGGGAUGUUUAGACCCUCUGGUCUAAAAGUAAAGGAUGGCAAAGCCAAUUUGAGACCAUUUCAGUUCUGAAAUGGCAGAAGAAGCAACAUGCGCUAACCAAGGUGCCGGGGUCUGUUUUUCCCUUCAAAACAAGUCUGUCAUUUACGGUCAGAGAUGCUAC